rnacentral:rRNA from 1 species
CUACGGGUGGCUCCAGUGGGGAAUAUUGGACAAUGGGCGCAAGCCUGAUCCAGCGACGCCGCGUGAGUGAUGAAGGCCUUCGGGUUGUAAAGCUCUGUUGAGGGAGAAGAAAACAGGCCGUUCAAAUAGGUCGGUCUCUUGACGGUAUCCCUUUAGAAAGCACCGGCUAACUCUGUGCCAGCAGCCGCGGUAAGACAGAGGGUGCAAACGUUGCUCGGAAUUACUGGGCGUAAAGCGCGUGUAGGCCGAUUGGAAAGUCAGGUGUGAAAUCCCUGGGCUCAACCCAGGAACUGCAUUUGAAACUUCCAGGCUAGAGUGAUGGAGAGGGAAGCGGAAUUCCUGGUGUAGAGGUGAAAUUCGUAGAUAUCAGGAGGAACAUCGGUGGCGAAGGCGGCUUCCUGGACAUUUACUGACGCUGAGACGCGAAAGCGUGGGGAGCAAACAGGAUUAGAUACCCCUGUAGUC